rnacentral:rRNA from 1 species
GAUGAACGCUAGCGGGAGGCCUAACACAUGCAAGCCGAGCGGGAUUUGUUGGUUAGCUUGCUAACUAACAAUGAGGGCGGCGUACGGGUGCGUAGCACGUGUGCAACCUGCCUUUAUCUGGGGGAUAGCCUUUCGAAAGGAAGAUUAAUACCCCAUAACAUAUUGAUUGGCAUCAGUUAAUAUUGAAAGCUCCGGCGGAUAGAGAUGGGCACGCGUAAGAUUAGCUAGUUGGUGAGGUAACGGCUCACCAAGGCUGCGAUCUUUAGGGGGCCUGAGAGGGUGAUCCCCCACACUGGUACUGAGACACGGACCAGACUCCUACGGGAGGCAGCAGUGAGGAAUAGUGGACAAUGGGUGAGAGCCUGAUCCAGCCAUCCCGCGUGAAGGACUAAGGACCUAUGGUUUGUAAACUUCUUUUAUACAGGGAUAAACCUACUCUCGUGAGGGUAGCUGAAGGUACUGUAUGAAUAAGCACCGGCUAACUCCGUG